UACGAAGGGGGCUAGCGUUGCUCGGAAUCACUGGGCGUAAAGGGUGCGUAGGCGGGUUUUUAAGUCAGGGGUGAAAUCCUGGAGCUCAACUCCAGAACUGCCUUUGAUACUGAAGAUCUUGAGUCCGGGAGAGGUGAGUGGAACUGCGAGUGUAGAGGUGAAAUUCGUAGAUAUUCGCAAGAACACCGAUGGCGAAGGCAGCUCUCUGGGACGGUACUGACGCUGAGACGCGAAAGCGUGGGGAGCGAACAGG
rnacentral:rRNA from 1 species